rnacentral:lncRNA from 1 species
CUAUAUUUCUCUCUCAGUAAUCUAAUUAAGCAAGUUACACAACUGGUAAUCGAUGUUGCAGCAUGCACGCAACAAAACCUAAUCUUCUUUUUCAUAUACUUAAUACUUUAUAUGCUUUAUAUUAAUAUUUUUUAUAGCAUGUUUAGUGUAGAAUACGGGAUGGAUAUGGAUAGUACUCUAUAUCUUUUUUUGAUUUUGUACUGUCUGAUUGUAUGCCCUAUGUAUUAUUUAAGAUACAUGCAUUUUUGGAAUAUGUAACAACUUUUUGAUCAACUACGUUAAUCUCUUCAGGUGGCUAGAUAGUUUGAGGAUCAAUCAUGAAGAUUUUUAUUGUUCUUGUUUUUGCCUUCUUGUUGAUCCUAGGAGCUGUUCAUGAAUCCCAUGCAAAAGAAUUGCUCCCUUUAAAGAAUCGUAUGCUUCUUAGAAACAUUGAUCCUCCACGACUUGUUCCCGGUGGUCCGAAUCAAUGUACUAGUUGUCAUCCUGGUUCAUAUGAUCAAAAGGCUACUAG